GAUGAACGCUGGCGGCGUGCCUAAUACAUGCAAGUCGAGCGAACAGACGAGGAGCUUGCUCCUCUGACGUUAGCGGCGGACGGGUGAGUAACACGUGGAUAACCUACCUAUAAGACUGGGAUAACUUCGGGAAACCGGAGCUAAUACCGGAUAAUAUUUUGAACCGCAUGGUUCAAUAUUGAAAGACGGUUUUGCUGUCACUUAUAGAUGGAUCCGCGCCGCAUUAGCUAGUUGGUAAGGUAACGGCUUACCAAGGCAACGAUGCGUAGCCGACCUGAGAGGGUGAUCGGCCACACUGGAACUGAGACACGGUCCAGACUCCUACGGGAGGCAGCAGUAGGGAAUCUUCCGCAAUGGGCGAAAGCCUGACGGAGCAACGCCGCGUGAAUGAUGAAGGUCUUCGGAUCGUAAAACUCUGUUAUUAGGGAAGAACAAAUGUGUAAGUAACUAUGCACGUCUUGACGGUACCUAAUCAGAAAGCCACGGCUAACUACGUG
rnacentral:rRNA from 1 species